CUGACUGCUAUCGGAUUGAUACUAAGCCAUGCGAGUCAUUGUAGUAAUACAAGGCAGACGGCUCAGUAACGCGUAGUCAACCUAACCUAUGGACGGGAAUAACCUCGGGAAACUGAGUAUAAUGCCCGAUAGAACAUUAUGCCUGGAAUGGUUUAUGUUCCAAAUGAUUUAUCGCCGUAGGAUGGGACUGCGGCCUAUCAGUUUGUUGGUGAGGUAAUGGCCCACCAAGACUAUUACAGGUACGGGCUCUGAGAGGAGUAGCCCGGAGAUGGGUACUGAGACACGGACCCAGGCCCUAUGGGGCGCAGCAGGCGAGAAGACUUUGCAAUGUGCGAAAGCACGACAAGGUUAAUCCGAGUGGUUUCUGCUAAAGGAACCUUUUGACAGUCCUAGAAACACUGUUGAAUAAGGGGUGGGCAAGUUCUGGUGUCAGCCGCCGCGGUAAAACCAGCACCUCAAGUGGUCAGGAUGAUUAUUGGGCCUAAAGCAUCCGUAGCCGGCUCUGUAAGUUUUCGGUUAAAUCUGUACGCUCAACGUACAGGCUGCCGGGAAUACUGCAGAGCUAGGGAGUGGGAGAGGUAGACGGUACUCGGUAGGAAGGGGUAAAAUCCUUUGAUCUAUUGAUGACCACCCGUGGCGAGGGCGGUCUACCAGAACACGUCCGACGGUGAGGGAUGAAAGCUGGGGGAGCAAACCGGAUUAGAUACCCGGGUAGUCCCAGCUGUAAACCAUGCAAACUCAGUGAUGCAUUGGCUUGUGGCCAAUGCAGUGCUGCA
rnacentral:rRNA from 1 species